UACUAUUUUAACUUAAUGAACUACAUGAUUGAAGGAGUUGGAUAUAGUUCCGAUCGUUCCUUUCGCAAAGCAGUUACUUUGAACUGCUUCUUUCCGGAACGGCACAACUCUUGUUAAAUUGUUUUGGUUAUGGAUUCGGAGGCCUCCAGCAAAAAAUCGAGGAAGAGUAAAUCUCGCAAAAGGACAAGGGACGCAAUUGAACCACUCGAUGAUAAAGGAAUUGUCCGGAAGCAAAAAGAACUGAUGAGAGUUUUACACGUUAAAAACUUUCAGCUGCAAAACGGAAAUCUAUCGUACUUGGAUUACAUCGAGUUGAGGGAGGAGCUACUUCGUUUGAAUGCCCUGAAGGAUAUUUUUAAGAAUAUGGAAUAAAAAUAAAGCAGUAAGAAAGUAAACAUUAAUAA